GGGCUGGCUCUGUGCCCUGGCCUUGUGGCUCACCUGGAGCGCCUCAAGAUGGUAUCCUCGGACAUCCCAAGCCCUCUGUGCAGCCAGAGGGGAGAGAGGAGGCCAGAAUGUGCAUGGAGUUCUCCAGAGAAACAUUGUAGUGGUCAUUAACUUAAUUUUUCUCAGCAGAUGUCUCCUUGGGUUUUAUGAAAACCGAUUUGCAUCUGAUGGACUAGGGCAACUCAGUCAGGAAAGCUGAUACUCCCUGGGGGCUUUGCCUGGGAAGAAAAGAAAGUGUGGGCUCCCACACUGACUCCCUAGCAACUGCCCUGGAUCGCGUUGCCGCUGUUCUGACAGGAGAGAUGGCACUUUCCCGGUCCCUGCUGGGUUCUGCCUUCCGACAGGCUACCGACCAUGGGGCCUGAGCCAUCUCCAUCACUGGGGAGGGCGGACCAUUCCCAUCCACAGGGACGGUGGGCACAGCCACCCACUGGGACACCCCUCCCCCAAGUUCUGAGCUCCUAGUGAUCCCUCUGCUGCAAGCCCAAGAUGACAGAAAACCCCACAGCUCUGUCUGCAGCUCGUGCUGGCCCCUCUAAGAAGGAAGACCCAGGGCCCUGAGGCUCCUCUCUGCAACCCCCCUCCCCCACUCUCCAGCCCAGAGGAAGACAUUGGGCAGAGUUCACCUUCCAAGCCCAGAGAAAUGUCCAGCCCUGCCAGAGGUAAGCCAACAGCCCCAAACCAAAGCCUGGCUGUCCCUCUACAGGGAUAACCUAAUUUGCCUCCCAUCCUGGUCCAGCGCUGUCUCCAGCAGGGACAGCGCCUUCAUUAGCAUGCUGGAGUCUGGAGCCUGGAGCCCCAGCUGCCUGCCCAGCCUCCGGCUAAUUGAAAAUUGCUGACAGCCUCUGGGUGAGGGAUGGGCUCAGCUGGCCACAGCCCCAGGGCCGGUGGCGGGGCCUCACCCCAAGCUGUGUCCCGCAGCCCUGCUCCCUCUGUGGCAGACACUGCCGUUUGUCCUUCCAGCAGUGCCAGCCCAUCCCACGGACACAGCACCAACCCCAGGAGCCCAGACAGGGAGCAACCACAAGGGUAGCAUCUAUAGCCCACUGGCCGUUCCUGCACAAAGGCCCUGAUAUUCACUUGCUGUCCGGGAGACAGCAGCGCAGCAGUCUGCUGGGAGGUGUAACUCAGCGCCCAGGCUCUGGGAUGUGCUGCAGGGAAGGGGGGCACAGACCAGAAUGGACUGGGGAGAGGCCCUGAGGGAAGGAGGGCCUCCUCCCCUGUGGGGCCAGCUCAGGACUUCUCACGGCAGCCCCACCACGGCCAAUUAAAUAAAGCAUCAACAUUUUUGAGAAGCUUCCCCGGU
rnacentral:lncRNA from 12 species